rnacentral:rRNA from 1 species
AGUGAACGCUGGCGGUAGGCCUAACACAUGCAAGUCGAACGGCAGCACAGUAAGAGCUUGCUCUUACGGGUGGCGAGUGGCGGACGGGUGAGGAAUACAUCGGAAUCUACUUUUUCGUGGGGGAUAACGUAGGGAAACUUACGCUAAUACCGCAUACGACCUACGGGUGAAAGCAGGGGAUCUUCGGACCUUGCGCGAUUGAAUGAGCCGAUGUCGGAUUAGCUAGUUGGCGGGGUAAAGGCCCACCAAGGCGACGACCCGUAGCUGGUCUGAGAGGAUGAUCAGCCACACUGGAACUGAGACACGGUCCAGACUCCUACGGGAGGCAGCAGUGGGGAAUAUUGGACAAUGGGCGCAAGCCUGAUCCAGCCAUACCGCGUGGGUGAAGAAGGCCUUCGGGUUGUAAAGCCCUUUUGUUGGGAAAGAAAAGCAGCAGGUUAAUACCCCGCUGUUCUGACGGUACCCAAAGAAGAAGCACCGGCUAACUUCGUG